rnacentral:rRNA from 1 species
ACUCUGCGGGAGGCAGCAGUGGGGAAUUUUGGACAAUGGGCGCAAGCCUGAUCCAGCCAUGCCGCGUGCGGGAAGAAGGCCUUCGGGUUGUAAACCGCUUUUGUCAGGGAAGAAAAGGUUCUGGCUAAUACCUGGGACUCAUGACGGUACCUGAAGAAUAAGCACCGGCUAACUACGUGCCAGCAGCCGCGGUAAUACGUAGGGUGCAAGCGUUAAUCGGAAUUACUGGGCGUAAAGCGUGCGCAGGCGGUUAUGCAAGACAGAGGUGAAAUCCCCGGGCUCAACCUGGGAACUGCCUUUGUGACUGCAUGGCUAGAGUACGGUAGAGGGGGAUGGAAUUCCGCGUGUAGCAGUGAAAUGCGUAGAUAUGCGGAGGAACACCGAUGGCGAAGGCAAUCCCCUGGACCUGUACUGACGCUCAUGCACGAAAGCGUGGGGAGCAAACAGGAUUAGAUACCCCAGUAGUCCCA